AAGAUGCUAGUUCCAGGGAUCAUUUCUCUAAUUCAUUACUAGAGAAGUUUUCUCAAUGUGUAGAGUACCAGAAACCACAGUUGGAGACUGUGUUCUCUUCUGAACAUGAAGCCAGUUCUUAGUGUUGCUUCACUGCCAUUUGCCAUUGACUAUCAUUUUUCUCCCCCGUGGGAGAGCAAGAGGAAGAGGAUGCCAUCUGAAUGGC
rnacentral:snoRNA from 1 species